GGACGAAACCCUGAUGCAGCAACGCCGCGUGGAGGAUGACACAUUUCGGUGCGUAAACUCCUUUUAUAUGAGAAGAAAAUGACGGUAUCAUAUGAAUAAGCGCCGGCUAACUCCGUGCCAGCAGCCGCGGUAAUACGGAGGGCGCAAGCGUUACUCGGAAUCACUGGGCGUAAAGAGCGCGUAGGCGGGUAGUUAAGUUGGAAGUGAAAUCCUAUGGCUCAACCAUAGAACUGCUUCCAAAACUGAUUACCUAGAAUAUGGGAGAGGUAGAUGGAAUUUCUGGU
rnacentral:rRNA from 1 species